UUGUGUUGACAGAAAAACAAGCAGACGACUGAGCUGAGCCAAACUUGCAAAAAAAUGUUCACGUGUGUAUAUUGGAAUAAUUUCGCAUCAAGUAUCCCAUAUUGACCACUACAAUAUCAGUUUAGGUGGCAUUGCUUCGUCGUUGUAUCGGAAGAUUAUUAACCUGCUAUGUUGAGCAGAACAUAUGGUGCCUUCCGUUUAAUUUAUAGAAGAGCAAGUAGUGCUGUCAACUCUCUUUUGAGUCAAGAAGACACAAGAAAUUCCACCAUGAAAGCAUAUUGUAGAACCAAGAGUGAAGAUCGUGUGGAUAUUCAGUUUCAAUAUGUAGAUCCUGUUAUAGGGUUGGACCGUUGGUUCAAUUUCAAUAGAUCAAUGGAUGAUAAUGUGCAACAAAUUAAAGAAAGAAUUGUUACAAAUAUUGACAAGGCUUGCUUAAAGUACAAGAAAAAGAAACUGAAGAAGUUGCCUACAGAUCCCUUGGAUGAGUUGAAGUUAGAAGUCCAACUGUUGCAGGGUUGUGAAAUAAUAGGUCCAGAGGUGACUUGUAGAAAUUUACUUGUCAUGCCAGAUGUUGUAAUUGCAGUAAAUGGUCAAUUAUACCAUUUAGAUGUUGACCCUCCUACAGUAAAAACUCUCAAGCUCCCUACUUCAAUUAUGGCAGGGUAUCAAGUUUAUCUAAGCAAAUUUGAAGUAGAGUAUUGUAUAACACGUGAAUGUGAACUAAUUUGGUACAAGAGCCAUGAGCCUGUAAAUGUCAUCCCAGAAGAUAGUUCUGAAACUUGGGUUCAAGUUGGAACAGGAUUCUCCUACUCUACUUCAAACUCAGACAUUGGCAGCUGGCUCAAAGUAAAAUGCAUUCCAAGGAAUUCAUCUAGAGUAGGAUUGCCUGAAUGUGCAAUCUCUUCCCAAGUAGUCGAAGCUGGACCUGGCCAGUGUCCUUUUGACAUCCGUCACAAUUUUACAAAAGAAUCAAUGGGCAAUACAGGUUUUCGAGUAGUGACCUACAAUAUCCUUGCCGAUCUAUACACCGAUUCUGAAUAUACACGUAAAGUUCUUCACCCCUACUGUCCUCCAUACGCGUUGGCAAUUGACUAUCGAAAGCAACUUAUCUUAAAAGAAUUAAUUGGAUACAAUGCUGAUAUAAUCUGUCUCCAAGAAGUUGAUGGUAAAGUCUUUGAUUCAGAUUUGAAACCUAUUUUCUCUUCAUUGGGUUUCGGAGCUGAAUUCAGCAAAAAAGGUGGACAAGUGAGUGAAGGAAUGACAUGUUUAUUCAAUACGUCCAAAUUUCGGCUGGUUGAAUCAUGUAGCCAUAUUUUGGCCGAAGAGUUGCCGAAAAAUCCAUUAGUUAAUGAUUUAUGGGAAGCUGUGCAAAAAAAUGAAGAUUUGUCUAAACGAAUCAUUGACCGUACUACUUCUUGUCAUCUUCUUGUCUUGGAGUCGCUGUUCAACGGUAAACGUGUAGUUGUAGCUAACACGCAUCUUUAUUUUCACCCAAAUGCGGACCACAUUCGUCUCCUACAAUCAUGUGUAGCUCUGCGCUUAGCACAAAAUUUGCGAAACUGUCAAUUGGAACUUGGAAAAGAAGUCUCCCUUUUAUUUUGCGGGGAUUUUAAUAGUACUCCAGGAUCCGGUGUCUUUGAACUGAUGACAUUACAACACAUAGAUCAUGACAACGAGGCGUGGUCAAGCAAACCAGAAGAAGCAGUGCGGGACUUAUCUCUUCAUAACCCAAUUGUGAUGGAAACUGCCUGUGGCACUCCUCCUUUUACUAAUUACACUAGUGGAUUCAGUGGUUGUCUUGACUACAUUUUUUUCGAAAAAUCCAAGCUCGUCGUUGAACAGGUUGUCCCCCUUCCCAGUCUAGAGGAAGUUACUCGACACUGUGCGCUCCCCAGUAUAGUGUUUCCUUCGGAUCAUAUUGCCUUGAUCGCCGACCUCAAAUGGGUGUGAUUUUAACUGCCGUUUGAACUAACUAGCAAAAACACCAUGGAAGGCUUAGGCUUCUCUAAAAAAUGUUAAAAAAAUUAAGCUAUAUGGGUUAUUACGUAAUAAUUAGUCUGUUGUCCAAUUGUCUGAAUUAUUCGUACUGUUGGCACUUGAACGAACAAUUUAUUAACUAUUGAGUAAGCCGAGAGCCACGAAUCAGCCUUUUUACGGGAAAAAGAAGCGUAGAUUUUUUAUUUCAAUUUGCACUAGCUUGUUGUUGCCCUCGAGCAAGAGAAUCGAACCACAAUUACAAAUCAUCCCAAAAGUCAUCCGUUCUUUGACCAUGUUUUCACUUUUGCGAUAAUUGAAAAUCGCAUCUGGUUUCAAAACUUUCAAAUUCUUGAAGAGGAUAGUCAACUUGCUGAAAAGAAAUAGGACGAUUUGUGUUGAAUCGCAUCAAAGUUUUCGAUGGUAGUUUAUGUUAUGCGUAAUAUGUAUGUUACGCCAAAUUUGGUAUGUUUAAAGAAUCUUUUUACCCUUAAAACAAAUCCUAACAUGUUUCUUCUUUAGUAUCGCCGAAUUACAAACAGGGUUAGUGUAUCGUCAGAAAAUUGAGAAAAAGUUUUCAAUACUCCUACUCCUAGGGUUUGAUUCACGAAUUGAUGAAAUUGUAGUAGUAAUAGUAAAAAAUUGUGAAUGAAGGAGUCACUGCCGUCAAUGAAAUUUUUCUUUAAUUUCUCAACGAAAUUGUUUAGCGUACCAUGAAUCAAGCUCACAAUGAAGGACUAAAUAAUGUCAAUUAGAACCACAUAGAAAAUGUUUUCCUCAGCAGCUUGUAGGAUUAAAGAAAAUAAGACA
rnacentral:misc_RNA from 1 species